AGCUCAAAUUUAAAAUCUGGUGGUCUUUGGCCAUCCGAGUUGUAAUUUAGAGAAGCGUCUUCCGCGCUGGACCAUGCACAAGUCUCCUGGAAUGGAGCGUCAUAGAGGGUGAGAAUCCCGUCUUUGGCAUGGAUGCACCAGGGCUUUUGUGAUGCGCUCUCGAAGAGUCGAGUUGUUUGGGAAUGCAGCUCAAAAUGGGUGGUGAACUCCAUCUAAAGCUAAAUAUUGGCGAGAGACCGAUAGCGAACAAGUACCGUGAGGGAAAGAUGAAAAGCACUUUGGAAAGAGAGUGAAACAGUACGUGAAAUUGUUGAAAGGGAAACGCUUGAAGUCAGUCGCGUCGGCCAAGACUCAGCCUUGCCUUGGCUUGGUGUACUUCUUGGCCGACGGGUCAGCAUCAAUUUCGCCCCUUGGAUAAUGGCUAGGGAAAUGUGACACCUUUCAGGUGUGUUAUAGUCCUUUGUCACAUGCAAGGGUCAGGAUUGAGGAACUCAGCAUGCACCUUUGGGUGUCGGGGUUUUUGCCCACGAUACAUGCUUAGGAUGUUGGCGUAAUGGCUUUAAACGACCCGUCUUGAAACA
rnacentral:rRNA from 1 species